rnacentral:rRNA from 1 species
GGAUUGAACGCUGGCGGCAUGCCUUACACAUGCAAGUCGAACGGCAGCACGGGAGCAAUCCUGGUGGCGAGUGGCGAACGGGUGAGUAAUACAUCGGAACGUGCCCAAUCGUGGGGGAUAACGCAGCGAAAGCUGUGCUAAUACCGCAUAAGAUCUACGGAUGAAAGCAGGGGAUCGCAAGACCUUGCGCGAAUGGAGCGGCCGAUGGCAGAUUAGGUAGUUGGUGAGGUAAAGGCUCACCAAGCCUU